rnacentral:tRNA from 1 species
AUCGAGUAAACUAUUCUUGAGUUUCUGAAGAAACUUAAGAAAUGAUGUUUUUGUAUCAUGUUUGGAAUGUUUACAGUUAUUAAGAGAAUGACAUU